UACGAAGGGGGCAAGCGUCGUUCGGAGUUACUGGGCGUAAAGGGCGCGUAGGCGGUUUUUCAAGUCAGAUGUGAAAGCCCUGGGCUUAACCCGGGAAUGGCAUUUGGGACUGAAAGGCUAGAGGACGAGAGAGGAUGAUGGAAUUCCCAGUGUAGAGGUGAAAUUCGUAGAGAUUGGGAAGAACACCGGUGGCGAAGGCGGUCAUCUGGCUCGUAACUGACGCUGAGGCGCGAAAGCGUGGGGAGCAAACAGG
rnacentral:rRNA from 1 species